AUUGAACGCUGGCGGCAGGCUUAACACAUGCAAGUCGAGCGGGGUGAUGGUGCUUGCACUAUCACUUAGCGGCGGACGGGUGAGUAAUGCUUAGGAAUCUGCCUAUUAGUGGGGGACAACAUCGCGAAAGGGAUGCUAAUACCGCAUACGUCCUACGAGAGAAAGCAGGGGAUCACUUGUGACCUUGCGCUAAUAGAUGAGCCUAAGUCGGAUUAGCUAGUUGGUGGGGUAAAGGCCUACCAAGGCGACGAUCUGUAGCGGGUCUGAGAGGAUGAUCCGCCACACUGGGACUGAGACACGGCCCAGACUCCUACGGGAGGCAGCAGUGGGGAAUAUUGGACAAUGGGGGGAACCCUGAUCCAGCCAUGCCGCGUGUGUGAAGAAGGCCUUAUGGUUGUAAAGCACUUUAAGCGAGGAGGAGGCUCUUUUGGUUAAUACCCAAGAUGAGUGGACGUUACUCGCAGAAUAAGCACCGGCUAACUCUGUGUCAGCCGCCGCCGUAA
rnacentral:rRNA from 1 species